UACGGAGGGAGCUAGCGUUGUUCGGAUAUACUGGGCGUAAAGCGCACGUAGGCGGCGCAGUAAGUCAGGGGUGAAAUCCCGGGGCUCAACCCCGGAACUGCCCUUGAAACUGCAGUGCUAGAAUCUUGGAGAGGCGAGUGGAAUUCCGAGUGUAGAGGUGAAAUUCGUAGAUAUGUGGAGGAACACCAGUGGCGAAGGCGGCUUUUUGGUCUGUAACUGACGCUGAGGCGCGAAAGCGUGGGGAGCAAACAGG
rnacentral:rRNA from 1 species